CCAGACUCCUACGGGAGGCAGCAGUGGGGGAUAUUGCACAAUGGGGGGAACCCUGAUGCAGCGACGCCGCGUGGGUGAAGGAGUGCUUCGGCAUGUAAAGCCCUAUCGGCAGGGAAGAAGCAAGACGGUACCUGACUAAGAAGCCCCGGCUAACUACGUGCCAGCAGCCGCGGUAAUACGUAGGGGGCAAGCGUUAUCCGGAUUUACUGGGUGUAAAGGGGGCGCAGACGGCGAUGCAAGCCAGGAGUGAAAGCCCGGGGCCCAGCCCCGGGACUGCUCUUGGAACUGCGUGGCUGGAGUGCAGGAGGGGCAGGCGGAAUUCCUGGUGUAGCGGUGAAAUGCGUAGAUAUCAGGAGGAACACCGGUGGCGAAGGCGGCCUGCUGGACUGCAACUGACGUUGAGGCUCGAAAGCGUGGGGAGCGAACAGGAUUAGAUACCCGAGUAA
rnacentral:rRNA from 1 species